rnacentral:rRNA from 1 species
CCCUUAGAUGUCCUGGGCCGCACGCGCGCUACACUGAGUGUCUGAGAUACGAGUCUGCCUGGUCCGGCAAGGUCUAGGUAAUCGCUAAAAGACACAUCAUGCUUGGGAUAGAUUAUUGCAAAUAUUAAUCUUGAACGAGGAAUUCCUAGUAAGCGCAAGUCAACAGCUUGCGUUGAUUACGUCCCUGCCCUUUGUACACACCGCCCGUCGCUACUACUGAUUGGAAGUUUAAGCGAGGUUCUCGAACUGCUAGCGACUUAGCUUCGGUGAGGUCGCAGUGUGGGAAGUGAACCUAGCUUUGGUGUCUAGAGGAAGUAAAAGUCGUAACA